rnacentral:rRNA from 1 species
CGUAGGGUGUAAGCGUUAAUCGGAAUUACUGGGCGUAAAGCGUGCGCAGGCGGUUGUGUAAGACAGAUGUGAAAUGCCCGGGCUUAACCUGGGAACUGCAUUUGUGACUGCACGGCUAGAAUCUGGCAGAGGGGGGUAGAAUUCCACGUGUAGCAGUGAAAUGCGUAGAUAUGUGGAGGAAUACCGAUGGCGAAGGCAGCCCCCUCGGGCCGAAGAUUGACGCUCAUGCACGAAAGCGUGGGGAGGCAAACAGGAUUAGAUACCCUGGUAGUCCACGCCCUAAACGAUGUCUACUAGUUGUCGGGUCUUAAUUGACUUGGUAACGCAGCUAACGCGUGAAGUAGACCGCCUGGGGAGUACGGUCGCAAGAUUA